rnacentral:rRNA from 1 species
CCCUUAGAGUUUGAUCCUGGCUCAGAACGAACGCUGGCGGCAGGCCUAACACAUGCAAGUCGAGCGGCACCUUCGGGUGUAGCGGCGGACGGGUUAGUAACGCGUGGGAACGUGCCCUUCUCUACGGAAUAGCCUCGGGGAACUGAGAGUAAUACCGUAUACGCCCUUCGGGGGAAAGAUUUAUCGGAGAAGGAUCGGCCCGCGUCUGAUUAGAUAGUUGGUGGGGUAAUGGCCUACCAAGUCUACGAUCAGUAGCUGGUUUUAGAGGAUGAUCAGCAACACUGGGACUGAGACACGGCCCAGACUCCUACGGGAGGCAGCAGUGGGGAAUCUUAGACAAUGGGCGCAAGCCUGAUCUAGCCAUGCCGCGUGAGUGAUGAAGGCCUUAGGGUCGUAAAGCUCUUUCGCCAGAGAUGAUAAUGACAGUAUCUGGUAAAGAAACCCCGGCUAACUCCGUGCCAGCAGCCGCGGUAAUACGGAGGGGGUUAGCGUUGUUCGGAAUUACUGGGCGUAAAGCGCACGUAGGCGGAUCAGAAAGUUGGGGGUGAAAUCCCAGGGCUCAACCCUGGAACGGCCUCCAAAACUCCCGGUCUUGAGUUCGAGAGAGGUGAGUGGAAUUCCGAGUGUAGAGGUGAAAUUCGUAGAUAUUCGGAGGAACACCAGUGGCGAAGGCGGCUCACUGGCUCGAUACUGACGCUGAGGUGCGAAAGUGUGGGGAGCAAACAGGAUUAGAUACCCUGGUAGUCCACACCGUAAACGAUG